AGCUCAAAUUUGAAAUCUGGUGGCCUCAGGUCAUCCGAGUUGUAAUCUAUAGAAGUGUUUUCCGUGCUGGCCCAUGUACAAGUCCCUUGGAACAGGGCGUCAUAGAGGGUGAGAAUCCCGUCCUUGACAUGGACUACCAGUGCUCUGUGAUACACUUUCAACGAGUCGAGUUGUUUGGGAAUGCAGCUCAAAAUGGGUGGUAAAUUCCAUCUAAAGCUAAAUAUUGGCGAGAGACCGAUAGCGAACAAGUACCGUGAGGGAAAGAUGAAAAGCACUUUGGAAAGAGAGUUAAACAGUAUGUGAAAUUGUUGAAAGGGAAACGAUUGAAGUCAGUCGUGCUCAAUGGACUCAGCCGUUCUGCGGUGUAUUUCCAUUGGGUGGGGUCAACAUCAGUUUUGAUCGCUGGAUAAAGGCAGGAGGAAUGUAGCACCCCCGGGUGAACUUAUAGCCUCUUGUCACAUACAGUGGUUGGGACUGAGGAACGCAGCAUGCCUUUAUGGCCGGGAUUCGUCCACGUACAUGCUUAGGAUGUUGACAUAAUGGCUUUAAACGACCCGUCUUGAA
rnacentral:rRNA from 1 species